rnacentral:rRNA from 1 species
AUGGCGUGCAACUCCGUUGCUUCUUGGCUGCUUAAUCCCGAUGCAGAAUGCGCUGUCGAAAGGAACACCAUGUCCAUGGCCGGAUGGCGAGAACCAGCAGGUGCCUUGUCAUGUUGUAGGACACACAUGGCUCCGCCCACGCUCCUGCGACGCACCGCGCCGGUGCGCGCAGCCACCGCCGCCUCCGCUGCUGGGCCGCUCUGCUUCCAGCCGUGCCACUCCCUUGCAUCACCGCCAUGCCCCCCUGGUUUCUUCAGCCCAAGGUUUGCUCGCGAGGACCUCGUUCUCUUGCUUUUCCCGCAGCUGGCUGGAUCCACGCCAGAUCCAGUGCUGCCGCCGGGGUGCUCUACCUCUCCAGGCUCGCCAUUUGUUCCGGAUCCCCUCCCAGAAGAUCCACCCGCGGCUCCUGCUUCCGUUGCGCCGGGUCCAGCCCGGAAGGUCUGCUUUGCUGCUGCUGAAGACCUGCUGAAUCCAGCUCCUGCUAAGCUCAUCCAUGGCGCCCCCAGGUCAUGCCUGAAGACGGCGCGGUCUGCUACCUUCUCUGCCGGUCAGGGCGCGGCGCGGACGCCCAUACCUUCAAAUCCUGCGACGCCUCGUGCGAUGUCUUUCGAGCCGUUGGGUGUGGAUGCAAGCUCGGAGGAGGGUUGGAAGCUGGUUAAACCGCCGUAUUGGUGGAGAACUCUGUCUCCCAAUCUGCAUCAGUCAAGACAGAGGUCCUCGCCUUCCUUUUCCCCUCCAUCAUCAGGCAGAAUUUUUGUGAAGCAUCACCGUCGGACCUGUAAUCGCUGCCUGGAGCGGGGACAUCUCAAGAUUGACUGUCGUGACCCCUACAAAUGUCUGAUUUGUCGACAGAGUGGGCAUCGUGCACGCCAGUGCACAAACAAAUCACCGAAGCCAGUGCAAGAACACCUCCUGCCGCCGGCAAUGAUUCCGUCUCCCCCACUGGCUGAAGCUGAUGGAAGGAUUCUAUGCCGCCCGUGUAGUGGCCAUGGCGAUCCGGUCUGCUGGGAUGAUGUCCGUGGCUGGGACGAUGGGCGCGAGGGCAACCAACGCUCCAGCGCCCCUGCUAGGCGUAUCAACAAUCGAGGCCAAGGCUCUCGCUACGAUCGGCUCCGAGAUGACUGCGACGGCAACUAUGACAUGCGCCGUGGCCUGGAGCUCCCGACACUCGACGCCCGGCGAAUCGACAGAGGCUGUGUUCAACGACUUCCGGAUGGCGCUGUCAUCCCGGCUUCAGGCAGGAGGUCCCGAAACCGCCCAGCUGACACGCCGACGAGGAGCGCGCGUCGAAGAACAACAUUGAGACUCGUGGUCGGUCGCCACUGCCUUCUCCGCGCACUACUCAUCGAGACAUCAUCGAGCUGA